rnacentral:lncRNA from 1 species
AUAAACUUGCUUUCACUUUGAUCUAUGGACUCACCCUGAAUUCUUUUUGCACGAGAUACAAGAAUCCUCUCUUGGGGUCCAGAUCGGGACCCCUUUCCUGUAACAUCUUUCUGGAAUGCAGAUGGGACUAUAGUGUGGAAACCCCAACCCAAAGGCUAACUUUGGGUAAGUGGUGAUGUCCGGUAACAUCUUUCUGGUGGCCCACAGAAGGGACAAUACUGAGGAGACCUCUGACCCAAAGGAAAUAAACUGGAGCACUGAUUGGCUGACUUUGGGUCAGCUGCAAUGGGUGGCUCUUUCUCUGGCCUCCCUGAGCUCUUCGCUCUUCGUCUUCCCCAUCCUACCUCAGGCAGUGCUCUCUCUCGCUCGCUCGCUCAACUGGAUAAAUGAACGGUAAAAAUUACUGUUUAUCUUCUCUGUAAAGUUUUG